AGAGUUUGAUCCUGGCUCAGAACGGACGCUGGCGGCAGGCUUAACACAUGCAAGUCGAACGCAUCCUUCGGGGUGAGUGGCAGACGGGUGAGUAACGCGUGGGAACGUGCCCUUCAGUUCGGAAUAACCCAGGGAAACUUGGGCUAAUACCGGAUACGUGCGAGAGCAGAAAGAUUUAUCGCUGAAGGAUCGGCCCGCGUCUGAUUAGCUAGUUGGUGAGGUAAUGGCUCACCAAGGCGACGAUCAGUAGCUGGUCUGAGAGGAUGAUCAGCCACACUGGGACUGAGACACGGCCCAGACUCCUACGGGAGGCAGCAGUGGGGAAUAUUGGACAAUGGGGGCAACCCUGAUCCAGCAAUGCCGCGUGUGUGAAGAAGGCCUUCGGGUUGUAAAGCACUUUAGUUGGGGAAUAAGAUGAGCAGUUUAAGAGAUGGUUCAUUUGAAGGUACCCAAAGAAUAAGCACCGGCUAACUCUGUGCUAGCCGCCGCGGUAAUUC
rnacentral:rRNA from 1 species